rnacentral:rRNA from 1 species
GACGAACGCUGGCGGCGUGCCUAAUACAUGCAAGUCGAACGCAUUUUCUUUCACCGUAGCUUGCUACACCGAAAGAAAAUGAGUGGCGAACGGGUGAGUAACACGUGGGCAACCUGCCCAUCAGCGGGGGAUAACACUUGGAAACAGGUGCUAAUACCGCAUAAUUCCAUUUACCGCAUGGUAGAGGGAUGAAAGGCGCUUUUGCGUCACUGAUGGAUGGACCCGCGGUGCAUUAGCUAGUUGGUGGGGUAACGGCCUACCAAGGCUGCGAUGCAUAGCCGACCUGAGAGGGUGAUCGGCCACACUGGGACUGAGACACGGCCCAGACUCCUACGGGAGGCAGCAGUAGGGAAUCUUCGGCAAUGGACGCAAGUCUGACCGAGCAACGCCGCGUGAGUGAAGAAGGUUUUCGGAUCGUAAAACUCUGUUGUUAGAGAAGAACAAGGAUGAGAGUGGAAAGUUCAUCCCUUGAUGGUAUCUAACCAGAAAGCCACGGCUAACUACGUG